rnacentral:rRNA from 1 species
CCUACGGGAGGCAGCAGUAAGGAAUAUUGGUCAAUGGAGGCAACUCUGAACCAGCCAUGCCGCGUGCAGGAAGACUGCCCUAUGGGUUGUAAACUGCUUUUAUACGGGAAUAAACCUUGAUUCGUGAAUCGAGCUGAAUGUACCGUAAGAAUAAGGAUCGGCUAACUCCGUGCCAGCAGCCGCGGUAAUACGGAGGAUCCAAGCGUUAUCCGGAUUUAUUGGGUUUAAAGGGAGCGUAGGCGGCCUAUUAAGUCAGGGGUGAAAGACGGUGGCUCAACCAUCGCAGUGCCUUUGAUACUGGUAGGCUUGAAUGUAGUUGAGGUAGGCGGAAUGUGACAAGUAGCGGUGAAAUGCAUAGAUAUGUCACAGAACACCGAUUGCGAAGGCAGCUUACUAAGCUAUGAUUGACGCUGAGGCUCGAAAGCGUGGGGAUCAAACAGGAUUAGAUACCCUGGUAGUCCACGCCCUAAACGAUGAUAACUCGAUGUUGGCGAUAUACAGUCAGCGUCCAAGCGAAAGCGUUAAGUUAUCCACCUGGGGAGUACGCCCGCAAGGGUGAAACGUCAAAGGAUUGACGGCUGAGACGNGCGAGGACGACGACGAGGGAGGAGG